CUACGUGCUUGGCAAUGCCACCUUUAAAAUGCUGUUAUUGUUUCUGCCUUCCGACUCGGGGCCAAGUUUUCUCCUCGCAUUCUGGGCUCUCAGGGAAGGCAGGAAAUCAGGGAGCCCCGCUGAAGGGGAAGGCCACUUCCCCUAACCCUGCUGGGCUGUUCCAGAGACCUAGACAAGAAGCACAAACCCUUCACUGCAGAACUGGCCCGAAUUUGCCUUGCCUGGUUUCUUUCUGCCCACAUCAGCUGUGAUCAAAGGACUGGGUUUGUGCCCAGAGGACAAGUGUGUCUAAGCCUCUGGGAACAAUGCCCUUGUUGAUCUUCUGUGCUCUGCUUGCAUAAGGCCAUUGACUGAUUUCAACCUUGGCUACCAUCAAUAUCUUCACCUUUUACCAGACGGUGCUGGCAGUGAUAUGUUGUCUGAUGUCACCGUUACACUCAGGUGAGAAUGAAAAGAUUAUCUUAGGUAACCAUCUGAUUACCUGCAUCAGACUACACGCAAACUAAGGCAUAAAGAGUUCACGCCGAUGUCUAAAGAUCAGAACAAGAACCUACACUUCUGGAAUGCAGUAUCUUUUCCUGCUAGACUGGAAACGGCAAAGAGGAUUCGCGCCACCUGCCAAUUCAGAUGGCCUAGCAGACCAGAAACAGCUGCCUACACAGUAACUAAGAGAGCCAGCCAGAGAACGGAGCCAUAGCGGAUGAGCAAUGCCCGCCGCGAGCACAGCUCCACCUCAGCUCAUCAGACAUUAGAUCCUGAAGGCUAAGGACCCCUGGUAUAAAGGAUGAGAGGAAAGGAGAAGACCAAGAUGCAGCUGUGAUUAAAGUGCUUUGAACACAUUCAGCUGGAAAAUCUGCAAGGCAGCUGGACCAACCACGGCUGGGAUCUUCAGAGAGAUUUGAGAUCUGAAAAUCUGGGGGUCUGUAGACACAGGAGAAGAAAAGACCAAAAAUAUCAAUCGUGUGUCUUCCUUUCCAAUCUAGUUAAAUUGUAUAAGUGUUAUGCUACUCCACCUGUAAAGACUUAAUGCAACAGAAAUGUUACCAUAUAAGUGUCUGAUUUUCUAAAUUACAGCACUUAACUGCAAUUUUUUUACAUCUCAUAACAACUUAAUUCAAGCAACAAGAAAACUCCUGUUGCUGAAAAUAUUUCCUAAAGAUUUUGUACUUUUCUGCCUUCUUAGGUAUGGCACACCAACAUAAUUUUAUCUUUCUCUGGAGAUUAAAUACCUUAUAAAUCCUAACGACAUCCUCAUAAGGGGCAUUAACUGACACUUCAGAGCUCGGCCUAUAUGAUCAUCUCCAGCCCCUCCCAGAACAUCUCCCCAGUCAGUGAAUGAGGACCACCUAGCUCUACUUGCGGUCAUCUGUCAUACUCCAAGCGCAUAGAGCUGUUUUAAGUUGCUGGACUUGGAUUCAAGGCUAAGAGAUGGGGCCAAGAUCCUUGAAACUGUAAUAGAGCAGUCCACUCUCCGGAGAUUUGGGGGGAUAAAAAGGCUUGUUGCAAAUUCAAUCAAGAGAACUAGAGUAGCAUCUCCGAAAGUCAUGACUAGAACCAACUGUAGGACUCAUCCACCUUUAAAAUGAAAAAAAAAGAAAAAGACUGACAUUUUCUUUUCUGAUAAAAUACAAAUCUCCUAGGAAGAAGGCACUAAAACUGACAGUUAUUUCGCUUCAAAGAGAAUUUCUGAUUUUUUUUCCCCUGCAAACAGGUUUUACUAGGAAAAGCUCAAGAUGCUGGUGCAUAGACAUGGAAAAGGCUGCAUGUCUCACACCUUUGCCUAAAAUCACUCUGGUGGAAACUGUUACUUUUUCUUAAAAUCCUCCCACAGCCACCACCACUAACACUGGAUUCUCAAGGCACUGCUUCGAAGUUCCAGCAGCCAAAUUAGACCUUGUGGGAAAGAAAGUUGAAGACAACCACACCCUAUAACUUCUGCUUUUCAUUCUUCAAAGACUUGCACUUCAUCCAAAAGAGGUGUGUAAACAAAAUUUUCCAGGUUCCGUGUGUCUAAAAUGACCAGAAGUGCGUUUCAGCUUCCCCUCCAAAUUAUUUUUAGAAAUUCAAAAAGAUCUGACGCACAUAUUUACAAACCACUGUUCUGAAGUGCUGCCACUCAUUGAAUUCUUAGACAUCUGUUUAAGAAUAGCUUGUGAGACACCUGAGAACUGAGAGAGGGAGCAGAGAAACCAGAAUUUCUACGCCUUCAUCCAUCUAGGCUAAAGCAGAAAAUAUGCAUAAAAAUAUUUUUUGUCUGUAAAUAAUAAAGGUCAGAAGAGGGAGAAUUUAUGAAUAGCACGAGUCAAAGUAAAGUGCUUAAAAAAAAAUUGUUUUAAGGACCAUAAAGAAAA